rnacentral:rRNA from 2 species
GAAGUAACCUGCCCUUGACUCUGGGAUAAGCCUGGGAAACUGGGUCUAAUACUGGAUAUGACUUCUCACCGCAUGGUGGGGGGUGGAAAGAUUUAUUGGUCUUGGAUGGACUCGCGGCCUAUCAGCUUGUUGGUGAGGUAAUGGCUCACCAAGGCGACGACGGGUAGCCGGCCUGAGAGGGUGACCGGCCACACUGGGACUGAGACACGGCCCAGACUCCUACGGGAGGCAGCAGUGGGGAAUAUUGCACAAUGGGCGCAAGCCUGAUGCAGCGACGCCGCGUGAGGGAUGACGGCCUUCGGGUUGUAAACCUCUUUCAGUAGGGAAGAAGCGAAAGUGACGGUACCUGCAGAAGAAGCGCCGGCUAACUACGUGCCAGCAGCCGCGGUAAAUACGUAGGGCGCGAGCGUWAUCCRGGAAUUAUUGGGCGUAAAGAGCUCGUAGGCGGUUUGUCGCGUCUGCCGUGAAAGUCCGGGGCUUAACCCCGGAUCUGCGGUGGGUACGGGCAGACUAGAGUGCAGUAGGGGAGACUGGAAUUCCUGGUGUAGCGGUGAAAUGCGCAGAUAUCAGGAGGAACACCGAUGGCGAAGGCAGGUCUCUGGGCUGUAACUGACGCUGAGGAGCGAAAGCAUGGGGAGCGAACAGGAUUAGAUACCCUGGUAGUCCAUGCCGUAAACGUUGGGCACUAGGUGUGGGGGACAUUCCACGUUUUCCGCGCCGUAGCUAACGCAUUAAGUGCCCCGCCUGGGGAGUACGGCCGCAAGGCUAAAACUCAAAGGAAUUGACGGGGGCCCGCACAAGCGGCGGAGCAUGCGGAUUAAUUCGAUGCAACGCGAAGAACCUUACCAAGGCUUGACAUGUUCCUGACCGCCGUAGAGAUACGGUUUCCCCUUUGGGGCAGGUUCACAGGUGGUGCAUGGUUGUCGUCAGCUCGUGUCGUGAGAUGUUGGGUUAAGUCCCGCAACGAGCGCAACCCUCGUUCCAUGUUGCCAGCACGUAGUGGUGGGGACUCAUGGGAGACUGCCGGGGUCAACUCGGAGGAAGGUGGGGACGACGUCAAAUCAUCAUGCCCCUUAUGUCUUGGGCUUCACGCAUGCUACAAUGGCCGGUACAAUGGGUUGCGAUACUGUGAGGUGGAGCUAAUCCCAAAAAGCCGGUCUCAGUUCGGAUUGGGGUCUGCAACUCGACCCCAUGAAGUCGGAGUCGCUAGUAAUCGCAGAUCAGCAACGCUGCGGUGAAUACGUUCCCGGGCCUUGUACACACCGCCCGUCAAGUCACGAAA